AAGGUUCGAUUCUGGCUCAGGAUGAACGCUGGCGGCGUGCCUAACACAUGCAAGUCGAACGGACUUAAGACGCUGAUGAGGCUUCGGCGGAUUCUGUUUAAGUUAGUGGCGGACGGGUGAGUAACGCGUGGGCAACCUGCCUCAUACUGGGGGAUAGCAGUUGGAAACGACUGAUAAUACCGCAUAAGCGCACAGAGUCGCAUGACUCAGUGUGAAAAAACUCCGGUGGUAUGAGAUGGGCCCGCGUCAGAUUAGCUAGUUGGUAAGGUAACGGCUUACCAAGGCGACGAUCUGUAGCCGGACUGAGAGGUCGGACGGCCACAUUGGGACUGAGACACGGCCCAAACUCCUACGGGAGGCAGCAGUGGGGAAUAUUGGGCAAUGGGGGGAAAAACCCCCUGACCCAGCAACGCCGCGUGAGGGAAGAAGGUUUUCGGAUCGUAAACCUCUGUCCCAGGUGAAGAGGAAGAGACGGUAGCCUGGGAGGAAGCCCCGGCUAACUACGUGCCAGCAGCCGC
rnacentral:rRNA from 1 species